CGGCUGGGUAUCGUCCGUAUCGAAACCAUGACCUUCAAGUUACUAGAUGUUCUACCAACUGAGCUACAUGGUCAGGAUGGAUCGAAGACUGGAAAUUAUGAACUACAUACUGAAUGUCAUAAACAUACUUGUUUAUAUUAAUCAGAGUUUUCAAUUUUGUGUGAGGCUCUGGCUAAUGGUGAUGAAGCUACGGCGAUAGAUAUUAUUUCUACCGAUAGAAUUUACAAAUUUGGGCGAGUACACAUAAUAGAGACGUGACUAAACGUAAAAGCUCUGGCGAAUUUGGGUGGGGUUGAAUGAAAAAGUCUGGCGAAAUUCGCCGUUCGCCGGCCUAAACUGAAAACCCUG